rnacentral:rRNA from 1 species
AAUGAACGUUGGCGGCGUGGAUUAGGCAUGCAAGUCGUGCGGAAAGGCCCCGCAAGGGGUACUCGAGCGGCGAAAGGGAUAGUAACACGUGGAUUACCUACCUCCAGGACGGGGAUAGCUGCGGGAAACUGCAAUUAAUACCCGAUGACGUCUUCGGACCAAAGGUGUGAUUCCGCCUGGAGACGGGUCCGCGUCCUAUUAGCUAGUUGGCAGGGUAACGGCCUACCAAGGCUCAGAUGGGUAGCGGGUGUGAGAGCACGACCCGCAUCACUGGGACUGAGAUACUGCCCAGACACCUACGGGUGGCUGCAGUCGAGGAUCUUCGGCAAUGGGCGAAAGCCUGACCGAGCGACGCCGCGUGCUGGAUGAAGGCCUUCGGGUUGUAAACCGCUGUCAGUGGGGAGGAAAUACUAGGGGGAACACCCUUUAGUUUGACCUAUCCGCAGAGGAAGGACGGGCUAAGUUCGUGCCAGCCGCCGCGGUAAUAC